UACGUAGGGGGCAAGCGUUAUCCGGAUUUACUGGGUGUAAAGGGAGCGUAGGCGGCUUAGUAAGUCAGAAGUGAAAGCCCAGGGCUCAACCCUGGGACUGCUUUUGAAACUGCCGGGCUGGAGUGCAGGAGAGGUAAGCGGAAUUCCUAGUGUAGCGGUGAAAUGCGUAGAUAUUAGGAGGAACACCAGUGGCGAAGGCGGCUUACUGGACUGUAACUGACGUUGAGGCUCGAAAGUGCGGGUAUCAAACAGG
rnacentral:rRNA from 1 species